AUGAAUAUUUAUGCGGUUCUACCAACAUAUAAACGUCUGAAUGUUUCGCUAGUACUGGAAUAUAAAUUUGUUAAGGCUGGUCAGUUCAAUUAUCUAAACACGUUUCUUCUCGGCUUCUUGCCCAUAAUCUUAGUUACCUUGCUUCACUUAUCCUUUUCAAGUAGCUACCAUUGCUGUGCUUUUGAGCCUUUUUUGUUUAUGUUUAGUGUGAGGAGUUUGUCCCUUGCUGCAUCGGCGUCUUUUGUUUUCUGCUUUCCACACCGUUAUGGUUGCAAUCCUACUGUCAUAAAGCUUCUGUUGUGGGAUGUUGGAAACUAUGCCUUGAAAAAAACUUUGUUAGACUCUUUCCAAUGGAUGAAGUGUUAG
rnacentral:rRNA from 1 species